CAGACCUCGCUCGCCGGGCCAUGAGGGGCUUCGCUUCCCUCCGUGUUUAUUUUCGCUGCCGUGUGUUCUUUUGCCAGAUGUGGACACCGAGGCAUGGGAAAUCAAAGAAAUUUACCCCCGGUCGUUGGCAGAGCCACCGCUAUGAAUAAUUGCCUGAUUUCCACUGAUGAGUGGAAUGCCCUCUAGACAGACCGCUCUCUCCAGAUGCGUGCCGGCUUUAAAAAUUACACGCACCCUGCGACUUUUUGGCCUCGUCCCCACCGGUCGCUUUGGGGAGAAGCUGGGAGCGACUCUGAUGCUGACCAUGUGUGGGGACGUGGGGCGGCGAAGGCAUCUUUGGCACGGAGACGGCGCAGCCGGAGCGCCGCGAUCUCCGGCGACAAGACUGCACCCUCUGGAGGGUACUGUUGCUCUUGCACAAAGUGUUUAUGGCAAUAAAACCUGGUCCAUAAUCGUCCA